UCUCACCGUCCCAAAACUAAGGCACGAGAGGGCGGGAAUACUGUGUCCAUGCCAGUCUAGAGGGUCUAUGGAUCCGAUCCGGAGUCUUCACCUGUGCCAGCCCAUUCCAGAAAAUCGUGGGGGCCACCCAAGCGAAGGAGAGCCUGGGGAAGAAAUUCUCCGGCCUGUCUAGACUUGGGGAGGUGAUCAAAGGAUGGCAGAUGUUGCCCUCACAGAGGGGAGCAGGGGACACAGGCAAGGUCACCAAAUACAAGAAUGAAAUGACAUCUGUCAGUCAAUCUAGUAGAAGGACUUGGUGCUUUUCGCGAGGCUGCUGUGUACAUCCAUCAAAACCAGGACUCCACUAUGCUUUGGAAGGGUCCAGUGCCACAGUGAGCACAUGGAGGUCAGAGGAAAACUUGUGGAAAUCGGUACAUUUGCUUUACCAUGCCGUCCCGGGGAUCGAACUCACACUUGGCAGGAAGCGCCUUCACCACCUGUACCACCCAGCCAUCUCACUAGUCUAGGGCCUUGUUUUCUUCAGCAAUCCUUUCCCACUCUGAAGCAGCCCACAUAGAUGGAAGACACCCUGAGGACGCUGUGCAAGUGUGGAGAGAAUUCGCAGCUGGGAAGCCGUUAACUACUGCUACAAAGUUUAAAAAAAAAAAAAAGAUAUCUGGAAAGAAAAUUCUGGCAAACGGCUGGGGGAGAGCCCCUCUGUCAUCUCUGGAAUUGAGCACAGGAAACUCCGCCCGAAGCCUCCCUUUCAGAGGCAGCCUGGAGAGGCAACCACAAGAAGGGUACUAAAAUUAUGCCUUUCGGAAAUUCUGACUCACUCACUGUGGGGCUGUUUGUGCAAGGCAAAAAUGUCUCCCAAAAAGUGAAGUUCCCACCGUUCCCACCCCUUCCUCUGUGGCGUGUCUCCACCAACACUCCCGGGGAAGCUGGAACCCACUUCAUGAACCCAGGGAGUUCUCCGGUCCGCUACACACUGGCAGCUGCUCGGCCAGCCUCCUUGGCCACUCCUACUUUCUGUAGGUGUGAUUUCCUAUUUAUGUGCUCAGCCUCCACAGAGAGAUUAAAGGGGAAAGCAGGGAUGGCUUUGCUAGUUUACACAGCCCCUUUGGAUGAAUGGGUAAACAGAGGCAAGAGGGGGAGAAAAGAGGUGCCCUCUCCAGAAGUCCCAAGCAUGUCCGUGCUGUCCAGCAAGUGUAUGGUCCUAUCUCUUGUCUCUCGUCUGGCUUUUCUCUAAGUGAUGGAUUAUGCAGUGGCUACUGGCUAGGCACAGAUGAAAAGCUCUCAUUUGGGUGUACAUUUCUGGGGUACACUGGCAGCGAAGUCCUUCUCUUAGCGUGGAAGAGCUGAUUGUCAUCCCUACUCUACUCAGCGAUUUUGUGGUGUUUCGUUUGUUUGUUUUUGUGUUUUGUUUUUGAAGACAGGGUUUCUCUGUCUGUAGCCCUGGUUGUCUUGGAAAUCACUAUGUAGACCGGGCUGACCUCAAACUCACAUCUGCCUGCCUCUGCCUCCAGAGUGCUAAGAUCAAAGGUGUGUGCCACCA